rnacentral:lncRNA from 10 species
UUUUUGUUUUGUUUUGUUUUGUUUUGUUGGUGGAGACAGGGUUUCACCGUGUUGGCCGGGCUUGUCUCGAACUCCUGACCUCAGGUGAUCUGCCCACCUCGGCCUUCCAAAGUGCUGGGAUUACAGGCAUUAGCCACUGUGCCCAGCCAUAUCCUGAUGUUUUAUUAAGAAUCUGUAAGUUUCAUGAGGGUCAGCAAAGUCCUUCAUGAUGAGUCUUCUCAAACAGUUGUAUGAUUCUGCAGGAGUAAUGUCACCUUGAGUGCCCACAUAAAACAAACCCUCUUAACCCCAGCAUUUACCAUGACUGGAUAAUAGGGAUAUUCAGUGGGUGAAUAUGCCAGCUAUCAUAAAGCCAGUCCCACAUGGCUUGCAUAUGAAGCAUAUCAGCUGCUUCAUCUUGGUGCUGCACUUGGCAUUUUAUAGGGAGAGUUGGGCAGUCCCCUUCUUAGGAAAAACAGACCUUACAGUGGUGUUUAUCCAGUCCACUAGGCUGGUCAUUCUUUCUGGAAUGACCUCCUGUGCAUAUGGAUCACAUAUACGCAUCAACAAUUCUUUAAUAGUGAGCUGUGGAGCCUGAAUUAACCCAAACAUACUUUUUCAUUCCAUAGCAUUUAAAAUUAAGGAUACUGUCCUUAAAGUAGUUAUUUUUACAAUCCAUUAUCAGAAAGAUUUCUCAUGAAGGAGAUGAUACCAAUUUACAAAAUGCAAUUAUACCCUCUGGAUUUUGUACUUACUUGAUUUUGCCUUUCCCCCACAUUGACUAUCCUUUUAGUAACCACAGGUCUCAGAGGUAACUUUUUGUUGCUCUGGGUUAAUAGUUUUCUUUUGGGUAGCUUUGAGGUUAGUGGCCUGAGCUGAGACAUUCCCAUAUCUGAGCUUGGUCUAGCCUGAAGACCCAACCCAGCAUGCUUUUACUUUCAUUUUAGCUAUUUAUAGAUAACAAUAAGCAAGUGAUUGAAUAUUUUGCGUUUUUCUUAUUAGUUUGCAUUUCCUCAUGCAUUGGGUGAACUAAUUCCCUGAGAGUAUGGGUAUGAUACAGCUCUAAAUUCCACUGGUAACUUUUAUCUUUAGUAACUGAAUGCAGCCCAGCUAAAGCUCCUGAAGAUGGGCAACCACACGGCCACCCAAGAGUCAAGGUUUCUCAUUCCACAUCUUUUCAUUUUCUCUUAAUCCAUUUAGUUUUUUCUGUAUAAUUUUUCCUUCAUUUAAAAAUGACUCUUAAAUAGUCUUUAAACAAGAAAAAAAUACACUUUUCUUUAGCAAAAAAAAUACAUCUUUGUGUUUUAUAAACUUCAUCAGAAACACCUUUCACUCUCCUACUAUUUUAACUCUUAGUAACCCCAUUCCCAGUGAAAAAACAUGGUUUAACAAACCAUGACUUUAAGAUUUUAAAUUACUGGAGAGAAUUUUGAGAUUAAAUUUACCAAAGUAAUCUUACCAAAGAUUACCCAAGUCAUGUGAAAUAAAAGGUAUCUGAGUUAGCCUCUAUUAGCCUGCUAAGCACUGACUUUUCUUUAAGCCAAUAGAUUAGAGCUUUUUCAAAUAAUUUGGUAGUGAAACAUCACUUCCACGUGACACAUACAAAUAUAUAAAUGUAAUAGACAUACAAAGGCCAGUCCAAAAGAUUUUUCAUUUGGCUGUUUUGAAAAAAUUCUCUCACUUACUUUAGAUUAUUAAUAAAGAGAUGUUAUAGGAGCCAACAAAAGGUGAAGGAGAGUUAUCUACCAUCUCAGGCCUUUUCAAAACAGAGAAAGCAUCAAACUUCUGGGAUAUCAAUCUGAAGAAUUGCAAAAAGAAAUGCUUCUUGAACAACCAGCCUUAUUAUUUUAGAAGAAAAAAUUCAAAAUAUAAGAUUAUUACUAAUAUAAAGUUGAAUUUCUACUAACAUUUUUCUUCUUACCAAAAGUAUCUUUUUA